rnacentral:lncRNA from 1 species
GUUGCACAGCUGCCGACCCAUGGCCCUCCUGGAGUAGCUGGGAGGCUGAGAAAACAGGGAAGACUGAUUGGAUUCCCACAGGGGACAGUUUGGAUUAAGGUUGUUAAGGAUUCCAUUUACAAAACAAAACUUUCAAAAUGCUAGCAACCUAAUCCAUCCCCCCAAAUCAGCCCCUUUCUCUCUGAACCUUUUUCCUUUCUUUCCUGACAUCUUGUUACUCUGUCCUCUCCUAUUCUUCUCCCAUCACAUCUACUUCUUCCUUGCCUUUGCCCUUUGUUACUAUGAACGAACAUACUCUUUGAAAGGCCAGCCUGCAUUGUUUAUGUACAAAAACAUAACUUUUACCAGUUUUGUUGAGAGCCAGAUGAAGGAGAAGCAACUGUACAAACCAGAAGCAGUCCAGAAAAUGAAACUGGGAAAAUGUGGUCCACAUAACAUGAAUUAUUUCAUCUGUGUCUCUUCUCUACCCCCCUACCCCCACAGCUCAUCUGCUUGGCUGGCCUCCAGCAGAGUGUGGUAGCAGCAGGCAGGAGCCUGGCAGUGUGGGAGGAGACCUGACAGGAAACAGGGAAGAAUUUCCAGGUAUUGGUUCACCUCCACACUGGCUGGACAUGCAGAUACCUGCUACUAACAGGAGUCAGUCAUCUUAUGCAUUAAGCAACUUAACACGUUGCUGUCCCUAACUCCAACUUACUGGAUUUUAACAAUAACCGAGCAUCAAGAAGGGAUAUUUACCAAUAACUUGGAGGACCCAUAACUUCACUGUCUUCUUGCCGCUGCAACCUGCUGCCACGAAUCAUUUCCACCUGCUACAGAUCCCUUGCCACAGCACUCCAGUCCCGAUUUUCCCUCGGGCCUCUAGAUACCAUCACAGCAGCAUCAUCCUAUUAGCACAUAUUUUCUGAAUGCUUAAUUACCAGAUGAGGAAACUAGAGCCCAGAGAGGUUAAGUAACUUGCUCCACUCACAUGCCUGAGCAAUGGACCAUGAAUACAGCUCCUGUAUUCCACACAAGUGGUUAACGCCUGGCCCCCCAGGAGCACACUGCAGAAGCUGCCUGUUGUGGACUUACGGCUUUGCUUGGAGGGAGAGAGGACGGCAGACGCUGAUCUGCAUUGCUGCAGCUUUGGUUCACUUAGUCUGACCUUUUUCUCCUCCCCUGCUUUCUCUGCUUUUCUUAUAUUGUCCAAAGUACUCAGCAAACUGAGCGAUUUAUUCUCUAGCUGG